rnacentral:rRNA from 1 species
AGUGGCGAACGGGUGAGUAAUAUAUCGGAACGUACCCUGGAGUGGGGGAUAACGUAGCGAAAGUUACGCUAAUACCGCAUACGAUCUAAGGAUGAAAGUGGGGGAUCGCAAGACCUCAUGCUCGUGGAGCGGCCGAUAUCUGAUUAGCUAGUUGGUAGGGUAAAAGCCUACCAAGGCAUCGAUCAGUAGCUGGUCUGAGAGGACGACCAGCCACACUGGAACUGAGACACGGUCCAGACUCCUACGGGAGGCAGCAGUGGGGAAUUUUGGACAAUGGGCGCAAGCCUGAUCCAGCAAUGCCGCGUGAGUGAAGAAGGCCUUCGGGUUGUAAAGCUCUUUUGUCAGGGAAGAAACGGUGAGAGCUAAUAUCUUUUGCUAAUGACGGUACCUGAAGAAUAAGCACCGGCUAACUACGUGCCAGCAGCCGCGGUAAUACGUAGGGUGCAAGCGUUAAUCGGAAUUACUGGGCGUAAAGCGUGCGCAGGCGGUUUUGUAAGUCUGAUGUGAAAUCCCCGGGCUCAACCUGGGAAUUGCAUUGGAGACUGCAAGGCUAGAAUCUGGCAGAGGGGGGUAGAAUUCCACGUGUAGCAGUGAAAUGCGUAGAUAUGUGGAGGAACACCGAUGGCGAAGGCAGCCCCCUGGGUCAAGAUUGACGCUCAUGCACGAAAGCGUGGGGAGCAAACAGGAUUAGAUACCCUGGUAGUCCACGCCCUAAACGAUGUCUACUAGUUGUCGGGUCUUAAUUGACUUGGUAACGCAGCUAACGCGUGAAGUAGACCGCCUGGGGAGUACGGUCGCAAGAUUAAAACUCAAAGGAAUUGACGGGGACCCGCACAAGCGGUGGAUGAUGUGGAUUAAUUCGAUGCAACGCGAAAAACCUUACCUACCCUUGACAUGGCUGGAAUUCCCGAGAGAUUGGGGAGUGCUCGAAAGAGAACCAGUACACAGGUGCUGCAUGGCUGUCGUCAGCUCGUGUCGUGAGAUGUUGGGUUAAGUCCCGCAACGAGCGCAACCCUUGUCAUUAGUUGCUACGAAAGGGCACUCUAAUGAGACUGCCGGUGACAAACCGGAGGAAGGUGGGGAUGACGUCAAGUCCUCAUGGCCCUUAUGGGUAGGGCUUCACACGUCAUACAAUGGUACAUACAGAGCGCCGCCAACCCGCGAGGGGGAGCUAAUCGCAGAAAGUGUAUCGUAGUCCGGAUUGUAGUCUGCAACUCGACUGCAUGAAGUUGGAAUCGGCUAGUA